UUUUUACUCCCUCCGUCCGUAAAUACUUGUCCUUAAAAUGGUUGUAUCUAGACUUAUUUAGUUAUAGAUAUAUUCAUUUUAUCCAUUUUGAAAACAAGUAUUCCCAGACGGAGGGAGUAUUUG
rfam:Triticum aestivum genome assembly, contig: Triticum_aestivum_CS42_TGACv1_scaffold_033044_1BL